GGAGAAACCGAUGAAGAAUGGGAACAAGAAGUCGAUGAAGGGCAAGUGAUGAAGAUGGUUAUCAAGAAGCGAAGCCCGCCGAAGGAUUACAACGCAUCAUCAGGUUUUCGUGGUGACGAUGGUGUGUUUUUUGGUUGGCUGCUAUGUGUUGUGAAGAUGGAUGUUGUUGUGAAGACCAUUUUUUAGAAGCAUUACAACUAUUGAUAUAAAAUUCAUUUUUAUUUUCAUUUUCAUUGUUAGUAUGCCCAUUUUUGGAUGAA